rnacentral:rRNA from 1 species
UCAGGAUGAACGCUAGCGGCAGGCUUAACACAUGCAAGUCGAGGGGCAGCGCGGGGUAGCAAUACCCUGGCGGCGACCGGCGGAAGGGUGCGUAACACGUGAGCGACUUGCCCGAUACAGGGAGAUAACCGGUGGAAACGCCGACUAAUAUCCCAUACGACUAGAGGCUGCAUGGCCUUGAGUUGAAAGGUUCGCCGGUAUCGGAUAGGCUCGCGGGACAUUAGCUUGAUGGCGGGGCAACGGCCCACCAUGGCGACGAUGUCUAGGGGUUCUGAGAGGAAGACCCCCCACACUGGGACUGAGACACGGCCCAGACUCCUACGGGAGGCAGCAGUGAGGAAUAUUGGUCAAUGGGCGGAAGCCUGAACCAGCCAUGCCGCGUGAAGGACUAAGGCCCUAUGGGUCGUAAACUUCUUUAGACGCAGAGCAAUAAGGGCCUCGCGAGGUCCGAUGAGAGUAUGCGUAGAAUAAGCAUCGGCUAACUCCGUGCCAGCAGCCGCGGUAAUACGGGGGAUGCGAGCGUUAUCCGGAUUUAUUGGGUUUAAAGGGUGCGUAGGCGGCGAAUUAAGUCAGCGGUGAAAGACCGGGGCUCAACCCUGGAAGUGCCGUUGAUACUGAUUGGCUAGAAUACCCUUGCCGUGGGAGGAAUGAGUGGUGUAGCGGUGAAAUGCAUAGAUAUCACUCAGAACACCGAUUGCGAAGGCAUCUCACGAAGGGGCGAUUGACGCUGAGGCACGAAAGCGUGGGGAUCGAACAGGAUUAGAUACCCUGGUAGUCCACGCAGUAAACGAUGAUGGCUAACUGUCGGGCCUGCGGGUUCGGCGGCCAAGCGAAAGCGAUAAGCCAUCCACCUGGGGAGUACGACCGCAAGGUUGCAACUCAA